rnacentral:lncRNA from 1 species
AAAAUAACCAUAAAUUACUGAAGUUAGUCCUUGAUACUCUACUUACAUUCUGUGCUCUAAUAAGAGUGUAACACUGAGCUACAACCAAAGCAGGAAUCAUUACCUUUAGCCGACGAAGAGCUCUCAUUCAGAAUGUUUUCAGGAUGAAAAAGAGGUCAGAAGAGGAAAGCUUAUGUUGCUGAUCUUUGAAGUUACCUGAAAUAUUAAUGCAAAUAGGAGGUGUCAAGUAAAGCAGCAUUUGUGUUCCGAACUGCAGCUUCUGUAGGAAGUUUGGAGAUCUGUCCCAGCACCAGCUCAGUAGCCAUUGAGUGAGUGUGAUCUUUUGGUCCUUGUUUUUAGCAGCUACAAUGGACUGAGGCACUGCUUGUUGAAUCAGGCACACAUGGAGGAGCCGUGUCUCUGGUUCUCACAGUAUAAGUUACAUACGAACACAACAAAAUGCUAAGGAGAUCCUACUGAUGGGAUGUCAUGAAGGCGGACCCCUACAAGGAGGAUGGCAGCGCUGGCUGGAGCUAAUCCACAAUUAAGCACCCUGACAAAAGAGAGGUUUUUGAAUGUUUCUGCUGAGCACAGAGCUCCAGUAAAUGCAGCAGCUGUUGUCUUUACUUUUGUAGCCUUGUUAAAGAAAUACCAACUGUUUCUUUUGCUCUAGAUGGAAUACAUUAGUGUUUCAUUCAUCCUCACACCUGCCCUGGUAAUGGGCACUUCCAAGUUUCUUAUGAGAUGCCACAAAUCUGCAAGCUGGGGCUCACACAGCUAAAGAUUCCAGCGGCAAUUUGGAGCAAAAGCGUCCUCUUUACAUUUAGGAUGCGGGAACACUAAGAAGCAGCGAAGAAGAGCGAGCACGGACAGCCGAGCCUUCCCCCCGCUAAAUUCCUGUUCUCUCGCUCGGACAGCCCCCUGCCAAGCCCGCACCCCAUUGCCCCACCGUGCAUCCCCCUCCCCGCAGCCGGUCGGCGCCGACAGGGGCGGAGCGGCAUCCCGGUGCUGUGCACGGCGCUCCGCCCGCCGAGCGCUCUGCGGGAGGCAGGAGGCGGCAGCCCUCCCCGGUCCAUCCUGUCUCAACGUCCCGCCCCGUCCCGCCCAUCUGCAUGCAGGGCCCGCUGCUGCCCUCACCUCCAAACUUUCGAUGCAGCCCCAUCGCCUGGGUGGAGAGAGCCGCCGCGGGACA